GACGAACGCUGGCGGCGUGCUUAACACAUGCAAGUCGAACGGUAAGGCCCUCCGGGGUACACGAGUGGCGAACGGGUGAGUAACACGUGGGUGAUCUGCCCUGCACUUCGGGAUAAGCCUGGGAAACUGGGUCUAAUACCGGAUAGGACUCCGGACUGCAUGGUCUGGGGUGGAAAGCUUUUGCGGUGUGGGAUGGGCCCGCGGCCUAUCAGCUUGUUGGUGGGGUGAUGGCCUACCAAGGCGACGACGGGUAGCCGGCCUGAGAGGGUGACCGGCCACACUGGGACUGAGAUACGGCCCAGACUCCUACGGGAGGCAGCAGUGGGGAAUAUUGCACAAUGGCCGCAAGCCUGAUGCAGCGACGCCGCGUGAGGGAUGGCGGCCUUCGGGUUGUAAACCUCUUUCAGCAUCGACGAAGCGAAAGUGACGGUAGGUGCAGAAGAAGGACCGGCCAACUACGUGCCAGCAGCCGCGGUAA
rnacentral:rRNA from 1 species